AGCGAACGCUGGCGGCAGGCCUAACACAUGCAAGUCGAGCGCCCCGCAAGGGGAGCGGCAGACGGGAGAGUAACACGUGGGAACGUACCCUUCAGUUCGGAACAACCCAGGGAAACUUGGGCUAAUACCGGAUACGUCCGUAAGGAGAAAGAUUUAUCGCUGAAGGAUCGGCCCGCGUCUGAUUAGCUUGUUGGUGAGGUAACGGCUCACCAAGGCGACGAUCAGUAGCUGGUCUGAGAGGAUGAUCAGCCUCACUGGGACUGAGACACGGCCCAGACUCCUACGGGAGGCAGCAGUGGGGAAUAUUGGACAAUGGGCGCAAGCCUGAUCCAGCCAUGCCGCGUGGGUGAUGAAGGCCUAGGGUUGUAAAGCCCUUUCGGCGGGGAAGAUAAUGACGGUACCCGCAGAAGAAGCCCCGGCCAACUUCGUGCCAGCCGCCGCGG
rnacentral:rRNA from 1 species